rnacentral:rRNA from 1 species
GAUGAACGCUGGCGGCGUGCCUAAUACAUGCAAGUCGAGCGAACAGAUAAGGAGCUUGCUCCUUUGACGUUAGCGGCGGACGGGUGAGUAACACGUGGAUAACCUACCUAUAAGACUGGGAUAACUUCGGGAAACCGGAGCUAAUACCGGAUAACAUAUUGAACCGCAUGGUUCAAUAGUGAAAGGCGGCUUUGCUGUCACUUAUAGAUGGUUCCGCGCCGUAUUAGCUAGUUGGUAAGGUAACGGCUUACCAAGGCGACGAUACGUAGCCGACCUGAGAGGGUGAUCGGCCACACUGGAACUGAGACACGGUCCAGACUCCUACGGGAGGCAGCAGUAGGGAAUCUUCCGCAAUGGGCGAAAGCCUGACGGAGCAACGCCGCGUGAGUGAUGAAGGUCUUCGGAUCGUAAAACUCUGUUAUCAGGGAAGAACAAAUGUGUAAGUAACUGUGCACAUCUUGACGGUACCUGAUCAGAAAGCCACGGCUAACUACGUG